AUUUAUUUAAUAUAAAAAGUAUAUUUGAUUUCCAAUCAGAAAGUCUAGUAAAUAGAAUAAAUA
rnacentral:tRNA from 1 species